rnacentral:rRNA from 1 species
UACGAAGGGGGCUAGCGUUGUUCGGAAUUACUGGGCGUAAAGGGCGCGUAGGCGGACAGUUUAGUCAGAGGUGAAAGCCCAGGGCUCAACCUUGGAAUUGCCUUUGAUACUGGCUGUCUUGAGUUCGGGAGAGGUGAGUGGAAUGCCGAGUGUAGAGGUGAAAUUCGUAGAUAUUCGGAAGAACACCAGUGGCGAAGGCGGCUCACUGGCCCGUUACCGACGCUCAGGCGCGACAGCGUGGGGAGCAAACAGG